CCUACGGGAGGCAGCAGUGGGGAAUAUUGCACAAUGGGGGGAACCCUGAUGCAGCGACGCCGCGUGAGUGAAGAAGUAUUUCGGUAUGUAAAGCUCUAUCAGCAGGGAAGAAAAUGACGGUACCUGACUAAGAAGCCCCGGCUAACUACGUGCCAGCAGCCGCGGUAAUACGUAGGGGGCAAGCGUUAUCCGGAUUUACUGGGUGUAAAGGGAGCGCAGACGGCUGUGCAAGUCUGGAGUGAAAGGCGGGGGCACAACCCCCGGACUGCUCUGGAAACUGUAAAGCUGGAGUGCAGGAGAGGUAAGCGGAAUUCCUAGUGUAGCGGUGAAAUGCGUAGAUAUUAGGAGGAACACCAGUGGCGAAGGCGGCUUACUGGACUGCAACUGACGUUGAGGCUCGAAAGCGUGGGGAGCAAACAGGAUUAGAUACCCCUGUAGUC
rnacentral:rRNA from 1 species